ACAGAUACAAGAAUGUUGCCUGCUUUGGAGCCAAGACUGCCUUCCGGAUAAAGGGCCCACAGAGAGCUGAGAGCUGUGUAAUACCUCAAAGACUGAAGAAAAGAGUUAGACAGCCAUCUUUCCUUAGAGGAUUUUGCUGCAGACAGCUUGAACUACCAGAAGGUUAUAUACUGACCAUGGGUAGAGUAAGGAAGAAAUACAUCCUUCGGAAAGGACAAUGAAGAUCUUUACAGCAGGGAGGUGAGGACAAAGUGAUUCUCCCUUCUGGAGGAUGCAGCAAAGUGCUGCCUGCCAUCUUGGAAGCACAGAGUAGCCUUCACCACACUCUAAUCCCAUCAGAGCCUUGAUCUUGGACUUGCCAGCCUUCAGAACAGUCUUGCCUCAUCACUGCCAUGACAGGGGGGUCCAAUGUGAGGAUUCUGGUGUCUAUGCCAAGCAUCUCUUUUCCAACGUAGAUCUGAUUUCUUAACAUAGCCAACAGCAAGUCAACAUCAGCUUUGCAGAGAAAAGCAG
rnacentral:lncRNA from 10 species